CAGUGUUUGCCAAACUGUGUGCUGUGGCAUAUUACUGUUCCAUGAAAGAUUUAAAAAUAUUUAAUAUAGGGUGUUUCUUGGUCAUAAAAUUCAGUUCAUCUUCAAAUCUAUGUGAUGAUAAAAAUCGCAAAAUACCACAACACAAACCUAACAUUAAUAGAAGAAAAUUUAAUAGACUUGAGAAAUGACCCUGUGCACAAAACUUCACAUUCUGAGCUAGAAUUGUCAGCAUUUUAUGAUUUUGCUUGGAGUCAAUAUCCUCAAUUAGCUAUAUGGCCAUUAAAUCCUUGUUGUCAUUUGGAUCAUCAUAUCUUUAUGAAUUGGGUUUCUCAGCUCUCAUGGAAAUGAAAUAAAAAAAAAAAGGAGCGAAUGAUUAGUGAUGGUAAAUGAGGAGUUGUGUG
rnacentral:lncRNA from 1 species